rnacentral:rRNA from 1 species
UGGGGGAUCUUGCGCUAAUGCGCGAAAGCGUGACGCAGCGACGCCGCGUGGGGGAUGAAGGCCUUCGGGUUGUAAACCCCUUUCGGCAGGGACGAAGGGAAACUGACGGUACCUGCAGAAGAAGUCCCGGCUAACUACGUGCCAGCAGCCGCGGUAACACGUAGGGGACGAGCGUUGUCCGGAUUCAUUGGGCGUAAAGCGCGCGUAGGCGGCUCGGAAAGUCGGGCGUGAAAUGCCGGGGCUCAACCCCGGGACUGCGUCCGAUACUUCCGAGCUGGAGGUAGGUAGGGGAGAUCGGAAUUCCUGGUGUAGCGGUGAAAUGCGCAGAUAUCAGGAGGAACACCGGUGGCGAAGGCGGAUCUCUGGGCCUUACCUGACGCUGAGGCGCGAAAGCUAGGGGAGCGAACA